rnacentral:rRNA from 1 species
GACGAACGCUGGCGGCGUGCUUAACACAUGCAAGUCGAACGGAAAGGCCCUGCUGUUGUGGGGUGCUCGAGUGGCGAACGGGUGAGUAACACGUGAGUAACCUGCCCUUGACUUUGGGAUAACUUCAGGAAACUGGGGCUAAUACCGGAUAGGAGCUCCUGCUGCAUGGUGGGGGUUGGAAAGUUUCGGCGGUUGGGGAUGGACUCGCGGCUUAUCAGCUUGUUGGUGGGGGAGUGGCUUACCAAGGCUUUGACGGGUAUCCGGCCUGAGAGGGGGGCCGGCCACAUUGGGACUGAGAUACGGCGCAGACUGCUACAGGAGGCAGCAGUGGGGAAUAUUGCACAAUGAGCGGAAGCCUGAUGCAGCAACGCCGCGUGCGGGAUGACGGCCUUCGGGUUGUAAACCGCUUACGCCUGUGACGAAGCGUGAGUGACGGUAAUGGGUAAAGAAGCACCGGCUAACUACGUG